rnacentral:rRNA from 1 species
AAUGAACGCUGGCGGCAGGCCUAACACAUGCAAGUCGAACGAGUGGCGGACGGGUGAGAAAUGUAUGGGAAACUGCCUGAUGGGGGGGGAUAACUACUGGAAACGGUGGCUAAUACAGCAUACCAUCAGAUGUGCCAAGAGGGGAUUGGCUAGUUGGUGGGGUAACGGCUCACCAAGGCGACGAUCCCUAGCUGGGCUGAGAGGAGGACCAGCCACACUGGAACUGAGACACGGCCCAGACUCCUACGGGAGGCAGCAGGGGGGAAUAUUGCACAAUGGGCGCAAGCCUGAUGCAGCCAUGCCGCGUGGAUGAAGAAGGCCUUCGGGUUGUAAAGUACUUUCAGCGGGGAGGCGGUACCCGCAGAAGAAGCACCGGCUAACUCCGUGCCAGCAGCCGCGGUAAUAC